UAUGAAGGUGGGAGGCCUUGGAGCUGGGCCUCAAAGUGCUUGCUUGCCUAGCUCUCCCUGCCUUUGCCCCUCCACAGAUGAAAGCACAGGCUUCCUUAGGUAUCUCCUAGGUGACAGAACUCCCUACUCCUAUCCCCACCCUCCCUCCUAAAUGUACAGAGGGUUCAGGCUGGCCAGGCAGAAGCAGGAGGGCAUGUGAUUGGCCUGCCUUCUUUCUGACCCUGGUUGCAGUGGGCUUUGCUCCACUCUUGCUCAGGAAGUCGGUGUUCUUUCUAAUUUGUUGACUUCUUUGUCCUUAAUCCAAGGUCAACUGACCUCUUUAAGAGGAACAGA
rnacentral:lncRNA from 1 species